ACCAGGGGCCCUGGCAAGGGUCUCCGGAACGCGCUCAGCCAACCAGCAGAGCCGAUCCGUGACUGUACUGCCCACAAGGCGGACUGACGAGGUUGCGACUGGAACGAGUCGUCCCGAGGGACGGGGAAGCGAUUAACGUAUCAGCUCGAGACGUCAGUACUGCUGAGUCACUCAACGACCUCGUGUCGCUGU
rnacentral:ncRNA from 1 species